GACAAAGGAGGAAGUGGCAUCCCGGAAGCUGAGGGGUCGCGCCUGCGCAAUUGCGAUUGGGCAGCAGCCCCGGGGGUCGACUCUUCCGCCCUGACUUAGUGGCUGACGCCUCCGGGCCGCCGUAGGCGAAGAACUAGAUAGAGCAUUGGAGCCUGAAGUACACGUGAAGAUGCCCGUGGAGAACAUCCCUUAUCUGGGUGACUAGUGUUUGGUGUAAAGAUUUGUGUUAAGACUCGGAAUGGUAAACUCUAGUGACGGGGACAAUACAGUCUUCUGACAUGUGGACGCUGUUGAUGCCUCAUUGUGGAAGAACAUUCUUCUGGAAAUCUGAUUCCAGCCCAUGAGGUCUUGGUAUAAUUAAGUGAAGCAGGCCCCCAGUGUGAGCAGAUGAGCCUCUUGGGGGACCAUGAAAUAUCUCUCCUGGAGAGCAGCGUCCCCUUGAGGAGAUGGAUACUAUGACUGAUUCCAGACCAGGCUUCUGUCGUCUACCAGAAACCACGCCCCACCGUCAAAUCCCAGUCCUAAAGGAGGACAGCAGUGUCUCCUGCUGACCACCUCCCCAUAUGUAAAGGAUCAAUAGAGUUUGCUACAAUAUGGAUUUUGGACCCAACCGGGAAGAUCAGUAUAUUUACGAUAUUAUAAUUCCUCCCAGGAAGUAUCAACAAGGACAGAAGAAAAAUCUUUCGAACAUGUCCUAAGUAUGCUACUGGAGGACCAAUAAGUAUUCCCAAGUGGCAGCAUUUCCUAUUGAACUGUGCCGAAAUGUCUGUUUUUAGAAAAGUGCCAAGUUAAUUAGCACCCUAUAGGACCUUGUUACAGCUCAGAACGACUACAUCUGCUGAUAAUUUAAUCAUUAUAAAUGUGACACAAGGAAAUCAAGCUUCACACGCUGUUACAUAAUGCAAAUUGACAGUGAAGACGGCUCAAUAGUGUGAUGUCAUUAAUAAGGUUGUUUCUUAAACUCAUAACAAAUAUCAAGUAAUUUUUGCAGUAGGCUAAGAAAAUAGACACAACCCGUGUGAUGGUUUUGAGAUGCAGAACACGCUGGGCACAUCUGCCCUUCUUUCAGAAGUUGUGGGCUGCUGGCGGAGAAUGUCGUACCGGCAUGGAUGGUUGUUAGAGGUCAAGAAGGUUCUAGAAGGACAUGCUGCCUGGGAGGGCAGCCACUGGACUGCGGACCCACCUUCAAUCCAGAAUGGUUUCAUCUGAAGCCUUUGACUGUAUCUGCAAAGAACCUUUUUGUAAAUAAGAUUCCAUUCCUAAGUGCUGGGGGUUAGGAAUGGCUAUGUCUUUUGGGAGACACAAAUCAUUUGCCAUUCAGUGGAUAAUGUGAUCUGCUUUUACUGUUGAAACCACUGCUUGCUUUCUUGGUGCAAAAGGCUGGACAGAGCAGGUGUAAGCAUGGAAGCAAGAGGGCUGGCUAAGAGCUUGCUGCAAGCUUUCGGAUGUGUAUGACAGAGUGCCUCAGUGUGGUAGCCUUACAGCAGGUGAGGGCUGCGGGAGGCGGACGUUGCUGCAUACUUGGGAUCUGUUUGUGGGCUGGAAGGAAGGAAUCAAGGUCAGUCUUCUGUAAAGUUGGGUGGUUUUUCUACCCACCUCUGAGAACGGGAGCAGAGAAGGGCUCAGAAGACCACGGAGAUGAGAGUCUAGUGAAGAGUCUGGCCCCCACCAUGGAAGAUACUCCAUAGCCUCUGGACAUAUUUGGGGAGAGUAGAUGCAAACGAAGAUAAGUCCCCCAAAGUUCUUUUGUGAGUGUGUGUUUGCUCUGGGCAAGGGUACAGGUCUCUCUUUUUCAAGACUUUUUUUUUAAACAAUACUCAUUUGAAUAGGGCUUAGAGUUCCUUGGCAGGGAAACAUUGGGCUCUUGGAAAUAUUACUAUUAUUUCUGGAGCCAAAUUUAGCAAAGACGGCUCUGCCUUUAAUUACUGGUUGAUGCUGAGUUGUACAGGCAAAUGAUUACAUGCACAAUUAGUUGUUCCCACAAGUAGCCAAUUAUGGGAACGAUUAUUUAAGAAAAUUGUGGCUCCUGCUAAAGGGACUUUGCAUUGCUGCCUCAAAAUACAUUUCUGUAUAAAAAGUCCUUUUAUUGCAUGUGUUAUUAUUUUUUCCUAUCUCCUGGGCUGCUGCAGAAAUGGCCCUUGUGGUCUCAUUUGUGGAGAGAGAGGACUGUUUUGUGUGGAAGCCCAGGUCUUUGGGGUACUGUGAGACUCAGCAAAGGGGGCUUGGAGCCGGGAGCCCUCCCAGGCCUAGUCUUGCUCCAAAGACCAUGACUACCCCACGCAUGGAUGUUAGAGAGAAGUCAGGAGUCAUAAUGGUGGAUCAGGGAAGUGCUGCAGGCACGGUGAGCCCUAGAGCAAAUCGAUGAGUCCCUGUUGGCUAACCCUUGCGUGUGUCCGUAAACAUGGCUUUCAUGGACUUUCUGCAGCGACCUGUCCUUCUUGGGCCACUUCUCCCCUGACCCUUUUUCCCCUAGGCAGUCAAGUUGUCUUAAAAGCAUAAGCUCCCUUACCCCAUAAGUGUCAUUAACUUUGGGAAACUGAGGCCCAGCGAGGUGAAGGACUUAUCCAGUGGUCCCAAGUCCAGCUGACAUGUGACCCCAGGUUGCCAAACUCUAAAGAUCCAGGUUUCCCCACAAGGCCAUGCUGCUUACUGAGAGCCCCGGCCGCGAUCAUGACAACCAUCAAACACUGUGACCCUUACAAUGGAGGGGCAGCCUGGUGGCUUCUUUUGUUUUUGGUCCGGACGAGGAAUCAAGACUAGGUGGACCUGGAAGGGACUGCAGUGGAUCUCGUUUAGACCAUUUAUUUAUUUACUUAUUUACUUACUUAUUGCUAUCUGAAUAGAAUUUGGAGAAUGUAUCUAGCUAAGGUCACUCUCUCCCUUUAAAUGUUUCUCAUGACCUGCUGAUCCAUCCAUGACCAAUCCUGACCUCACUUGUGCAGAGAAACUACACACUCAAGUGCCAGUGUUGGGCUGGUCCAUAGAAAUUCUGUUUCUGCCCCAUAAGUGGAGUGUGUUUGCUGUGCUGCCAUUUAUCAGUGGUCAGUUGUAUCAUCUUCACAGGGGUGGCUACGUUCUACCUUAAUGUGGUUUGACCUUAAACAACUGGACCUAUGCUUCAGCACCCUGUAAGGGUGAUGUAUUUUUUUUAUCUAAAAGAGAGAUGUAUUUUUUUGAUCCUUGAUUUUGGAUUAGUUCAUGGGAUUUGCUUUGGCUAAAAUGUUGCUAAUAUUUGUGACAUAAACAUAAAUAUGAAACAAAUGAUUAGACAUUUGGGCAAGCCCUUGUGGUCCAGCGAUCCAUCAGGAAAGGAACAUACCAGGGGUAGUUGUCGGACACUCAGCUUCAGCAUGAGAAUGAAACCGUACAGUCGACUCAUCUCCUAAAAAUAUAUAGGUCCAACUCAGACCAACACUAUGGUGUGAAGCCUAGAGCCUGAACGUUAGCUUAAUCCAAAUAAAUUGCAGUUAACUUCCAUAUCCAUGAAUACAAAAAAAUUUGCUGUCUUAAGCUACUGACCAGCAUUGGGCUGGUUUGUUACACAGCAUUAUUUGGCUGACUUAUACAUUCCAUACUGCAUUUUUAUGGAUAUUGAAGCAGAUGGAAAUAAAAGAGAUAGGAAAAUGAGGAUUAACAGCAGAGAUGGGGUAGGUGGUGUUUAAAAUUAUAUCAACAUAUUUGCAACUUAGUGUUCAAAUGGCUGUGGAGCUAUAAUUUACUUAUGCCAAGGCAUUCUAUAGAUUUUUCUCCCUAAAUGAAUCUAAGCCAAUAUUUUUGAAAAAUGUAAGCAAGCAAGCAAACAAAAAAAAGUAGACAAGCAAACUUGGUACAUCAUGGAAUAACCAGCGAGUGGAUUGGACCCAAAUACGCCAGGCUGUGUGAGGUUGUGGAUAGGCUGGGUUCCCCAUAGUCACCCCAUUCCUUGACCACAUUCUGAACAUCAAGAAAUCAGGAAUAGAUGGGUAACCAGAACUUGGAAAUGCAUUUCCUCUUAGUCUGAUUUUCAUAGUCUGGUUGCAAAUAUCUCCUUGUACAAGAGAAGAUUUAUAUUGCUUGGAGAGAGUAAAAAAAAAAACCCACAAGUUACUUAUAAAAGUCUUACCUUUUUUUUGGCCCUUCCACAUGAUGGAAAUAUGCUAGCAACAUUUUACGUUUCGCAAGUGGUCUUUUUAUAAGCUCAUAUCUGCCAAGAUCUAGCAGAGGUUCCAUGUGGCUUUUGAAGACAUGCCUGGAGCCCUUUGCUGUGGAACCUGGAAGUGACGCGCGUGCCUGGUAACCACAGGCUGCCCUUGCGGGCUGCUGAGGUCCUGUGGCUCAUCACGGAAUGAUGCAGAUCAUUCCAGAACGAUGUAAACUUGUGAGGAUGCAAAUCCAGUUUGUUCUCCUGGAGACUGUGGCCCAGGUCCUCUCCAACACCACCAAACCCUUCUGCUUUGGAGGUAUUGGAAUUAAGAGGUGUGGUUUCUCUCUUGCUUAUGGUUGUUACUUCUCGGGGCCUUGUGUUGAGCAGUGCUGUGAGUAAUAGAAGUGUAUUUCUGUAAAGUUCUGGGGUUUUAGCAUGAAUUAAGUUCCAGAGAAUGUUAGGACAAAGCACAGCAAAUGAUCAACUUUUUUUUUCUGUUUUCAGGAAACAAAAUACUCAGAUUUUGAAUACGAAUGCAUUUUAUGUUAGCCACAAACCCUUGGCCUCAGAGAUCAGAUCCUCACUUUGUCAUUUGCUACCUGAAUAGCCUGGGCUAACCCACUCAACUCCCACAGAAUUGUGUGUACCAAUCUGUGUACUAAUGGGGAUGAUAAUAUCAACUUCAAAAGUAGAUUAGAUGUAGGGUAAGGAGAAUACUUUUUAAUGUUUUCUUUCUUUAUAUCUACUUGUAUUACACCUAAAAUAAGAAAAGAAGGAGAAACAAUGUGUGGAAAGUCUCUGUAAACAAGAAAAUUUUUAAAUUAAUUGGGAAGAAUCCUAAGACAUUUUUAAGCCUAAUUUCCUCAUCUGAACAUGGAUUGGUCAUAUUUCUUUUCUUUUUUAAAAAAAUUUUAUUUAAAAGGAAAAAGAAAAAACAAAACAAAACAAAGCAGUGUAAGGGUACAAGUAAUACAGAACGAUUGGUCGUAUUUCUAGCUCAUAAAAAGGAGAUAAGAUUGAGAUAGUUCAUGAUACCCAGUAUGGUAAACAGAAUAGUGGUCACCUAGAAUGUCUCUAACCUCAGUCCUCAGAAGUCGUGAAUAACUGGUCUUAUAACAAAGGGGAAUGAAGGUUUCAGAUGAAAUUAAGGUUGCUAAUCAGCUGACCCAGAGACGGGGAGUUUAUCCUGGUUAUCCAAGUGGGUCUACUGUGAUAACAAGAGUAUGUAAGAGUGCAUGAAAGAAUGGGAAUACAGAACCAGAUACUGUAGAUUUCAACACGAGAGGUCUCGGGUCACUGUUGGCUUUAAAGAUGGUGGAAGGGACCAUGAGCCACAGAACAGGGAACAUCUAGACACUUGGAAAGGCAAGGCCACAACUCUCAGAGCAUCUCUGCCAGUAUUUGUUUCUAAGCCAGUGAGACCCCUUUUGGGUUUCUAACCUGCAGAACUUUAAUAUCGUGUAUAGUAUUGUUUUACACUCCCAAAUGUUUAGUAAUUGUUAAAAUGACCAUGAGAAACUAAUAGAUCUUGUCAGGACCCAAGGAGAAUUUCUUUAUUCAAAGUAGGUCUUUUCAUAUUAAAAGAGUCUAAUCUCACCUAAUAUCACACAACAUUUCUGUUAGCUGGAAUGCAUUCCUAUGCAGUUGAUACCAUUUCUGAGAACUUCAUCUUGUUUACUCAAUAAAAAUAAUUGAGUACAAUCAUUUUUUCCUCCAAGCUCUAGAUAUUUCUUGUUUCCUGGUACUUCAUACCGUAAAGGCAAAGGCUGAUGCCAACCUUAAUUUCCAUUCCUUCCUAAAUAUCCUCUCCCUCCCUGCUGGGAAUUUUAUAGGACUGUUUCAUAACGUUUGUUGUUGAAACGUUUGCCAAAAUCAGUCUGGCUGAAGGCUUCAUGGAUAUUACCUGGAGCGGAGAGAGGAUUUUUUGAGAAGCAGUCCAUCGUCCUGUGCCACCAGCUGGGUAAACUCUAAUUAUGACUGAGACCACACAAUUUGUAAUCAUUGAUCUUGCUUCUUUCGUAGGAAACCAUUAUUUUGGGAUAGAUUGUUGUGUGUUUUCCUGGGCAUUGUCCCCCAGCUCUAGUUUAGAUUUCCUGGUUGGAAACGGGGGGACAGACAUGAAAAUCUGUGCUUUCAGGGAGACCAUUGCUGUCUGUGUGGUAGAGAUCACACACCUAGGAGGUGGGGUCACCCAGGUUUCCCUGCACCGAUGUCCUGAUGUGUUGGUUUCUGCACACCGUGGCCUCUGCAUGGCUGUAAAACAGAAGUAGUAGAAUUUAUUUUUGUUUUCUUUCUGGUAUAGAUUUUGCUUUUUUGAACCAUAGGAGUCCAUAGUGAGGGAAGAGUUUUCUACCCACAUCCAAAAGAGAAACUUUGGACAAUCCCCAAAAGCAUGGAAUAUCUAUUAGCUAUAUAUUUUUAUUCUUUUGGCCUUGGGGAGAGUAGAACUUUAUCAGAGAUGCUAGUGCUUGGUUAACUUUCUUUUGCAGGAUUUACAUUUUUCCUCUUUUCUGCAUAAGUACUUUGGUGGGGAUUUAGGAAAAGCUAGAUCAAAAUUUUUGCAUCAGGAUGUUUUUCUUAGGAACAUUUAUUACAUUUCUCCCCCAAGUCAGGUAUUACGCCAAAUGCAUGAUUACAUUUGGAACUGGAGAUAUUAUUUACAUUUUAAAACUGAAGACAAAAAUUAAGUGAAUUGAGAGGGGUUGCCCAGGGUCACAGAAUAAAACAUGGCACCAUUAGAGGUUCCAGAGAUUUUUGGCUCUGAGAUUUUUCCCUUGCUCCAGGAGGUGAUUUUUUUUUUUCAUGAAAUGAAUUCAUUUAGUCUUUUCUUAGGGACAUCAAUAAACAUGAGCUUUGGGGGUAGAGUACAAAAUGACAUUUGCAGUUGCUUUGUGGAGACGUGAACCUGAUCCGUACAUGCUGACACCUCCCACUAAUGCAUCUGCGAGCUCACAGCAACAGCUAUUUCCUGUGCCAUCCACAGAGCAAAACCCAACUGAAAUUCCACUUCUAGACAGACACCUAGCAGCUGAACACCCCUAUGCAUGCUAAAAGACAUACCCAGGAGCAUUCAAAGAAGCACUGUUUUUAAUAACCAAACCCAUGGCAAUAGCAACCGAAAUGUCACCAACGAUGAAAUGGAUGAGUACUAUGCACGAUAAUAAUUAAAAUUCUUAUAUGCUUUUCAGAAGUAUCAACCUUUAUCAAAUAUCCAGUUUUUCUUGGCGUGACUCCUGGCUUGCCUGGUCCAGCACUCUCCCGUCUUUCUCUCGGGCCACUGUUCCAUUCUUUGGCUGCCUUCUUCCCUUCCACCUACAUUUUUUUUAAUGUUAAAACCUUUCAUCUCAAUUGCCUAAAAAUGUUGCAAAGGUAUUACAAAGAAUUCCCACACACCUUCAUCCAUCUCCAAGACUGUUCCCCCCCUACAUCACCUUACUGUAAUUUUUUGAAAUCUGGAAACCAACAUGGAUACUAUGCUUGCAACUUCUGGGUAGACCUUCAGAUUUCUCUAAUUGCUUGGCUCAUCCUUUCUUGGGUCCAGUGUCCAGUACGAGGUCCCAAUCCAACAUUGUAGUCAGUCAUCAUGUGUCCUCAGUCUCCUCCAGUUGGGACAAUUCCUGUCUUCUGUAGUCUUUUAUGACUGACAGAUUUGAAGAUAUCAGACUGGAUAGUUGGGGUCCUCUGGUUUGGAUUUCUCUGACAUUUACUAACAAUCACGUUGAGGUGCUGUACUUUUGGCAAGACAGUCACAGAAGCAUCCUGUUGUACCAGGAGACACAUGACGUGGAUGUAGGUUAAUUCUGAUUAUUUGAUAAAGGUGGCAGAGGUCAGGUUCCUCCUUUAAACUUAACGGUUUCUACUUUUUAAUUAAUAGUUGUCUCAAGGGAGAGACUCUGUGAGGCCAUGCAGAUAUCCAGUCGGCAUCACACUUUCCCUUACUAAUUUCCACAUGUUGUGGACCCACCUGGCCAUUCAUCCUGAGCUCCUUAGGGCUUGGUCCCAGCACUUCCUGCCACUCUCCAGCCCUCCCCAGGGAGGCUGCGGUACCUCACAGCUCCAAGCACCAUCUGAGGACCUGACUUCCGCAAUGGCCUCUCCAUCCCCUUUCCUCUUUUAAGGACUCUGAGUGGCGCCACCCCAGGCCCCUCACCUGGCCACUGCACCCUCAUGGUGAUCCCUGCCCCCAAGUUCCUCUCAAUUUGCUCCGAUUUGUCAUGACCUGCACCCAGCUGCACGUGUUAGAAAUCUGAGAUCUACUACUGAUAACUCUUAUCCCUUAUAUUGGUUGAAUCACCAAUAUCUGUUGAUUUUCUGUUUUUUAUUAGUACCUCCCACCAAUCCAGAACUGGUUGACUGAAUCUGUCACUUUAAUCUUCCUAAUUCUUUUCAUGUCUACAGCUGAUUGCCCAGUGCAAACCACAGUCAUUUCUUCUCUGGACAACUGCCCUGCCCUUAAAAUGGUCCCUUAACAUAAUCCCUCUCCUGUGCUUUUCUACAUAGUGGUCAGUACAGCACCACUCUUGACUUUGCUAUUAGAAGGGAAAGUCCAGAAGUCAUGGUGAUUGUACUGGGAAUUACCCAUGGUGAUUGUACAUGGGCAAGGUAAGUCAUGGUGAUUGUACAUGGGCAAGGUAAGACUCCAGGGGACUGAGUAGGGGAGGAAUGAAUGAAUGAAUGAAUGAAUCAAUGAAUGAAUGGCAGAGGAAGGAAGAGAACAAUUUCUCCUUCCUGGUGUUAAUGAACCCAGUGGCACCUGGCCAGGGCUCGACUCUGGGAUGCAAGUGAGGUACUUGCUUUAGGUGUGGCAUUAAGCAGACACCAAACCACUGAAGAUAGUAUUUUAAUGAAAUAAAUUUUAAAAAACAAAGUUAAUGCAAAAAAAAAAUCCACGAUGAACAAAACAUAACAAUUUAAACAAAGGCAGACCAUCUAAAACAUCACUGUCUUCCUCUAAUCUAGCUGUCCCAUUGUGAAUGAAGAAUCUAGCUCCUUAAUUUGCAAUAGCUUAGAACAGGAUUCUCUAGGGGAGGAGGAUUGACCUCCCCUCUCCCAAAUGUUAGUAAAGUCUGAAGGCAUUUUGGGGUGUUGCAACUGAGGGGGGCAGGGAUGAGCUACGAUAUCUAAUGGGUGGGGCCAGGGGUGCUGCUGAGGUUUGGAAGGCACAGGGCAGCGCCCAGCUCAGGGAACCAUAACUACAGAAAACACACCAAGAGCAGCUGGGCAGAGCAGUGGACAACCUCAGCAGCAGGGCUGGGCGUUUAGGGGUUUUGUUGAAACAGACUUCUCAGUCUUUGGCCUCCACUGCUCCAGCACUGAGCGGGCUAGGCCAAAGGAAGACCAAUGUCUGCAUGACAGGAGAGCAGCUCCAGGAGGGAAAGCACUCGAGUCCACCCCCAGGGUAACCCCCAGUGGGAACAAGUCAACCUGUGUUGUAGUCAGGGGUUGUACACAGAGAACAAUUAGGAUCAAAACAUGGAGUUUAUAAUAUUAUUUUUAUAAUGGUCACCAGGAGUUAACAUGAAAAAAUGCAGGAAAUCUAUCCACAACACCAAAGACAUAGAUUAUUUAGUCAAGAGCCUAAACCCCAUAGCAAUGUCCCACAUGAGUCCAGAUAAAAACCCAGAGCUCAGGACAAUGCCUCCCAUGAGUCCAACUGGAGGUUCAGAGCCCACAAGAAGGACUCAGGCCACUCUCUUUUACAGAUCCAAGCCAGGAAGGCCCAAGGGUCAGUGGUGGAAGCCAGAAAGUCUAUGCCAGCAGGACAAAGGAGCUGUGCUGGUGGGAUGAGGGUUCUACACUGGAGCUGAGAAGUCACACUCACAACAAAGACCAGGGCUGUCCUGAAGGCACUACAGCCAUUGUCAGCGACACAGAGGCCCCGAGCUCCUCCAACGACACGCACAGUCAGGUACAUGCCAGGAAGCAGCGUGACGAGUUCAUCCUGGAGACCAAGCAGCACAUGUCUUCCCCUCCAGAGCCAGGAAGCAAUGCUCAUUGUGAGGACCAAAGCUUCUCCAGGAGAACCAACAGCUCAGACAGCAACUCGUAGGAGAGCCCACAACGCCUCCUUAACGCCUCAACCCUCCACACCUCCCUCCUUCUCCACCUCUUUAUCCUGGCAGCUUUCCUCAGGUGGAGCAUCUUCGGUCAAUGCCAUGCUGAUGUAAUCCAGCUGGCGUUAAGUUGACCACCAGUUCUUAAUCCAUAACAACCCGUUGACUUGUUUUUCGGAAGACAGCGCUCACGGCUCAGGGAGAGUGGGCGGCAGGGCCCGAGGUGACUCUCCAGACUUUACAUCGCCUUUGCUUGUUCAUUUCAGUUCCGGCCCCUCUUCCUGGCUCUUCUCACCACUCCUCUUCUGCUAGGCCAUUUUCCUCUUAGGAGCGCUAACAGUUUCACCCGGUCGUCGUGUGACCUUAUCCCUACCUAUGCCUUGUAAAUCGUUGUCAUGUGGGCUGUCAGGGCUGAAUUUCCUUGCUGCUAGUAAACCUCUCUUCCAUGUUAUGCUGA